UACAGAGGUCUCAAGCGUUGCUCGGAAUCACUGGGCGUAAAGGGUGCGUAGGCGGGUCUUUAAGUCAGGGGUGAAAUCCUGGAGCUCAACUCCAGAACUGCCUUUGAUACUGAAGAUCUUGAGUUCGGGAGAGGUGAGUGGAACUGCGAGUGUAGAGGUGAAAUUCGUAGAUAUUCGCAAGAACACCAGUGGCGAAGGCGGCUCACUGGCCCGAUACUGACGCUGAGGCACGAAAGCGUGGGGGAGCAAACAGG
rnacentral:rRNA from 1 species